rnacentral:misc_RNA from 1 species
GAUGAAGAACGCAGUGAAAUGCGAUAAGUAAUGUGAAUUGCAGAAUUCAGCGAAUCAUCGAAUCUUUGAACGCACAUUGCGCCUCCGGGUAUUCCUGGAGGCAUGCCUGUUCGAGCGUCGUUUAAGACUAUGAGGCUUUGCCUUGCGAUGAGCCUUCGAAAAUCUCUCUGGAGACUUUUGAUCGCUUCAAACCCAUUGGCGUCUGAAGUUAGCCUGAGCACAGCAAAAUGUGUCUUGUGUGUUAAUCUGAUGGGCUGCCGGUAACUCGAAAACAAAUCAUCUGAGUCGACCUCGGAUCAGGCAAGAUUACCCGCUGAACUUAAGCAUAUCAAUAAGCGGAGGAA